ACAGUUGGUGCCAUUGCCUUGAUUCAUGAUACUUUGGCACCUUUAAGCAAAUUCAUACAAUUUGAGUAUGAGGAUUUGGAAAUGAAAGUGGCAUUCUAUAGUUGAAAGAAGUUUUGUCAUCAGUGAUUUGGGUUUAAAUCCGACUCUGAGUAGCAGUGUAACUCUGGGCAGCUCUAUCAAGAUUUUGGACAGAGUAUGUCAGAAUCAUGUCUAUAAGAUUCAGUGUGGACUAAUGCAAAGUGAGCCUGGACUGGAAGUCAGAAGAACUGGAUACAAGUUCUAAUGUUAUCUGAGAGCAGGCCUCUGUUAAUAGGUCUUGUUACCGUGGCAGAGACAACGGGAAAAUAUAGGCUAAUCAGAAGCAUUGUGCACAACAAUGAAACCUUGC
rnacentral:lncRNA from 1 species